ensembl:lncRNA
GUGAGUGCUCGUUCCCAAUGCUGGUGAACCGCGACCUUCCCCACACAGCUUCUUGACCACCUGGGAAAAAAAGUCAGAUUUGCAUUAUAUGAUAACGUCUAAUGGAUUCUAUUUCUUAGUGGAGUCCAUUUUCAGCGCCGUGCCAAAAGUGGAGAGGAUCUGGCUGCGGUAAUCUUGGACAUUCUCUGCCUCUGCCAGCAGGAAGGCAAGACGCAAGAGCCGCGCAGAGGGAAGUUCUCUCGGAGCAGGUGGAGCUUGGAAUUCGUGGCCUAAUGCAGAGACGAUCCCACCUGGUUCAGCUACGGUCAUGAGGAGUGUGGUGUACAGAAGGCGGACCACGUUCUCAUCCACCCCACACCGGCGAACACAUUCAGCAUUCAUAAACAGCGUGGUGAGAUUUAUUGCGCUAAAGUUAGACUGUUAAAUGCACUCAAUACGUUUAAUAUCCUCACUUGCUGGUGCGGACGGC